rnacentral:rRNA from 1 species
GGUUAAGAUACUAAGGGUACGCGGUGGAUGCCUAGGCGGAAAUCGACGAAGAAGGGCGUAGCGAGCUGCGAUAAGCUCCGGGGAGCCGCAAGCAGGCUUUGAUCCGGGGAUUCCCGAAUGGGGCAACCGGCGGCACGACAAGGUGUCGCAGUCAAGGUUGAAUACAUAGGCCUUGACGGGUAACCCAGGGAAGUGAAACAUCUCAGUACCUGGAGGAAAAGAAAUCAACCGAGAUUCCCCAAGUAGUGGCGAGCGAAAGGGGAAGAGCCCAAACCUGCUGGAUGUAAUAGGCGGCAGUCGUUGUUCAGCGGGGGUUGUAGGAGUGGGUGUGAUAGUCCUGCCGGACUAUCGGGAAGUCAGAAAACUCUGCGUUAGUCGAAGCGAGCUGGAAAGCUCCGUCAUAGAAGGU